AAACCCGCCAAACAUACGGAAUUCUUUCUCCGCCCAUUCUCUCCCGGAAGUAUUUCGGUACGUUCUUAAAAGGAUCCCGAUGUUCCAACCUUAAGCCGCUUCCCUUCAGUUCCGACUGUACCCUCCCAAUCGCCCAAGGCGCGGAGACAAGCAAAAAGAACUAAGAUCCGACAGGGGGAACCUCUUUGCUUUAAGAGGCGGGACCAAGGCUAGCUGAAGACCAAUGAGAAACCGAGGAAAGACAUACAGGACCUGUAGCCUAUAGGAAAAAUGGGUGGAACUUGAAGCGCGUGCAAUCAUACUGCGCAUGACUGGCAAAGAAAGUUUUAGAGUUCUGGAACAAUCUGGAAGAAUCGAUCCUCGUAUUGAACCCCAACAUCUCCGUAGUACUCCUAUGAUAACUCACUAUUUGAAUUUGCUCACUAUUUGAAUUUGCACUAUUCAGUGGAAAAGGCUCAUCCAGUUCUCCCAUUCUUAUAGACCUAAAAUGAAGAUUAGUCGACUGCGCCAUUCACCACCUUCCACAGCCGAUUCGCUAACAGUUAAAAUAUAUUGACUGGUGACAACGAGCAAGCCACAGUCCUCUCACGUGAUGUGGAUCGUUACUUGUAUGCUAAUGAGUCUCAACGACACAUCUCGAGCCCCCACCUCCGUCCACUCUGAGCUCCGAUUCCACAUAUGGAUAUGAACACCACAAGGCACUACAGGCUUCUCAAACUUGUAGAGUCCAGAAUUUAAACUCAUUAUUUCCUCUGUACUAACAAUCUUAUGUAUUUUUUUCUGACAUUUAUGCUUGUAUUCUUGGGAUAUUUUUGAUUCCCCCUCUCCCCCGCCCCCACCCUUAUAAUGUUUCAUUUAUUAUUUCAAUGUAUUAAGUGCAUACUGUGGGCCAGGCGCUGUGCAAGAUUCUAAAUAUAGAGUGGUGAACAAAAUAGACUUGAUCCAUAGCUCAUGAAGCUCAGAGUGCUAGACAAUAA